GUGGGGAAUAUUGGACAAUGGGCGAAAGCCUGAUCCAGCCAUGCCGCGUGUGUGAAGAAGGUCUUCGGAUUGUAAAGCACUUUAAGUUGGGAGGAAGGGCAGUAAGUUAAUACCUUGCUGUUUUGACGUUACCGACAGAAUAAGCACCGGCUAACUUCGUGCCAGCAGCCGCGGUAAUACGAAGGGUGCAAGCGUUAAUCGGAAUUACUGGGCGUAAAGCGCGCGUAGGUGGUUUUGUAAGUUGGAGGUGAAAUCCCCGGGCUCAACCUGGGAACUGCCUCCAAAAAUGCAUGACUAGAGUACGGUAGAGGGUAGUGGAAUUUCCUGUGUAGCGGUGAAAUGCGUAGAUAUAGGAAGGAACACCAGUGGCGAAGGCGACUACCUGGACUGAUACUGACACUGAGGUGCGAAAGCGUGGGGAGCAAACAGGAUUAGAAACCCGGGUAGUCC
rnacentral:rRNA from 1 species